UGGGAAUUUUGGACAAUGGGCGCAAGCCUGAUCCAGCAAUGCCGCGUGAGUGAAGAAGGCCUUCGGGUUGUAAAGCUCUUUUGUCAGGGAAGAAACGGCUGUGGCUAAUAUCCAUGGCUAAUGACGGUACCUGAAGAAUAAGCACCGGCUAACUACGCGCCAG
rnacentral:rRNA from 1 species